GAUGAACGCUGGCGGCGUGCCUAAUACAUGCAAGUCGAGCGAACAGACGAGGAGCUUGCUCCUCUGACGUUAGCGGCGGACGGGUGAGUAACACGUGGAUAACCUACCUAUAAGACUGGGAUAACUUCGGGAAACCGGAGCUAAUACCGGAUAAUAUAUUGAACCGCAGGGUUCAAUAGUGAAAGACGGUUUUGCUGUCACUUAGAGAUGGAUCCGCGCCGCAUUAGCUAGUUGGUAAGGUAACGGCUUACCAAGGCAACGAUGCGUAGCCGACCUGAGAGGCUGAUCGGCCACACUGGAACUGAGACACGGUCCAGACUCCUACGGGAGGCAGCAGUAGGGAAUCUUCCGCAAUGGGCGAAAGCCUGACGGAGCAACGCCGCGUGAGUGAUGAAGGUCUUCGGAUCGUAAAACACUGUUAGUAGGAAAGAACAAGUGUGUAAGUAACUAUGGGCGUCAUGACGGUACCUAAUCAGAAAGCCACGGCUAACUACGUG
rnacentral:rRNA from 1 species